rnacentral:rRNA from 1 species
CAGCAGCCACGGUAAUACGAAGGGGGCUAGCGUUGCUCGGAAUGACUGGGCGUAAAGGGCGCGUAGGCGGUUUAUACAGUCAGAUGUGAAAUUCCUGGGCUCAACCUGGGGACUGCAUUUGAUACGUAUGGACUUGAGUGGAGAAGAGGGUCGUGGAAUUUCCAGUGUAGAGGUGAAAUUCGUAGAUAUUGGAAAGAACACCGGUGGCGAAGGCGGCGACCUGGUCUUUAACUGACGCUGAGGCGCGAAAGCGUGGGGAGCAAACAGGAUUAGAUACCCCCGUAGUCCCUGUCUCUUAUAC